UACAGAGGGGGCAAGCGUUGUUCGGAAUUACUGGGCGUAAAGGGCGCGUAGGCGGCCUGCUAAGUCGGACGUGAAAUCCCUCGGCUCAACCGGGGAACUGCGUCCGAUACUGGCGAGGCUUGAAUCCGGGAGAGGGAUGUGGAAUUCCAGGUGUAGCGGUGAAAUUCGUAGAUAUUGGGAAGAACACCGGUGGCGAAGGCGGCGCUCUGGACCGAGACUGACGCUGAGGCGCGAAAGCGUGGGGAGCAAACAGG
rnacentral:rRNA from 1 species